rnacentral:rRNA from 1 species
GAGUUUGAUCCUGGCUCAGGAAUAACGCUGGCGGCGUGCCUAAAACAUGCAAGUCAAACGGGUGUGCCUGACGGAUGUCAGGAUUCACACACUAGUGGCAAACGGGUGAGUAACACGUAGAUAACCUGCCUCAAAGUUUGGAAUAAGCUCCUGAAAAGGAGUCUAAUACCGAAUGUGGUCGUAAGAUUUUUAUCUUACGAUUAAAGCUUUUGCGCUUUGAGAGGGGUCUGCGUCCUAUCAGCUUGUUGGCGGGGUAAAAGCCCACCAAGGCUUUGACGGGUAGCCGGCUCGAGAGGGUGUACGGCCACAAUGGAACUGAGACACGGUCCAUACUCCUACGGGAGGCAGCAGUUGGGAAUCGUUCGCAAUGGGGGAAACCCUGACGACGCGACGCCGCGUGUGAGAUGACGCUCUUCGGAGUGUAAAUCACUUUUCUGCAGGAAAAAGAUCUGAUGGUACUGCAGGAAUAAGCAGUUGCUGACUCUGUGCCAGCAGCAGCGGUAAUACAGAGACUGCAAGCGUUUUCCGGAUUUAUUGGGCGUAAAGCGUCCGCAAACUGUUUUGUUAGUCAAACUUGAAAUCCAGCGGCUUAACCGUUGAAACGGGUUCGAUACUGCAAAACUAGAGGGCUUGAGAGGCUGAUGGAAUUCCCGGUGUAGUAGUGAAAUGCGUUAAUAUCGGGAGGAACACCAAUUGCGAAGGCAGUCAGCUAGCAAGCACCUGACGUCCAGGGACGAAAGCGUGGGUAGCGAACGGGAUUAGAUACCCCGGUAGUCCACGCCGUAAACGAUGGGUACUAGGCUUAGGAGCUUCGACAGCACCUGAGUCGCAAGCUAACGCGUUAAGUACCUCGCCUGGGGAGUACGGCCGCAAGGCUAAAACUCAAAGGAAUUGACGGGAGCCCGCACAAGCGGUGGAGCAUGUGGUUUAAUUCGAUACAGAGCGGAGAACCUUACCUAGGCUAGACAUUCAGCUGCACGCCUCUGGAAACAGAGGAAGCUUUCGAAGGUGCUGAACAGGUGUUGCAUGGCUGUCGUCAGCUCGUGGCGUGAGCUGUUGGGUUAAGUCCCGCAACGAGCGCAACCCCUGCCCUGUGUUGAAUACUCACAGGGGACCGCCGGCGUACAGCCGGAGGAAGGUGGGGAUGACGUCAAGUCCGCAUGGCCCUUGAUGCCUAGGGCUACACGCAUGCUACAAUGGUCAGUACAAAGGGAUAUGCCAAGUCGUAAGACGGAGCGAAUCCCAUCAAAACUGGCCCCAGUUCGGAUUGAGGGCUGCAACUCGCCCUCAUGAAGUUGGAAUCGCUAGUAACCGUAGAUCAGCAACGCUACGGUGAAUACGUUCUCGGGCUUUGUACACACCGCCCGUCAAGUCAAGAAAGUCAGAGACACUCAAAGCCGCACUUUAGUGCGUCCAAGGUGGAGCUGAUGAUCGGGGCUAAGUCGUAACAAGGUAACC